UACAGGGGGGGCAAGCGUUGUUCGGAAUUACUGGGCGUAAAGGGCUCGUAGGUGGCCGACUAAGUCAGACGUGAAAUCCCUCAGCUUAACUGGGGAACUGCGUCUGAUACUGGAUGGCUUGAGUUUGGGAGAGGGAUGCGGAAUUCCAGGUGUAGCGGUGAAAUGCGUAGAUAUCUGGAGGAACACCGGUGGCGAAGGCGGCAUCCUGGACCGGUAUUGACACUGAGGCGCGAAAGCCAGGGGAGCAAACGGG
rnacentral:rRNA from 1 species